AGACUAAUCCUCCCAGGGGAACCUGGCCCUUAAUUCGAUGAUCCACGAAACUCUUACCUUUCCUAGUCUUACUCUUAACUUCUAGUUUUGAGAAGGUUCAGCUCGCAUACCGCCGUUUUUAGGUAGUACAGAGAUGGGAAAAAAACUAUCGACUCAGUCAAGGCUUGAAUAGCUGACCGCAACUAAUUCAGGUAAACGUGUGGCCUAUGGAAAGGGGAAGCUGGGUUACAAUUGAAACUUGGAAUAGAGCUGUUUUUCUAAGAAUUAAGCAAAAGAGGACUUGGAAGUAAUGCCCCCAUCAAAUAAAAGGUGGCAUGAAUAGAAGCUCUAUCCUGCGU
rnacentral:rRNA from 1 species